rnacentral:rRNA from 1 species
CCCUUAGAUGUUCUGGGCCGCACGCGCGCUACACUGAUGCACUCAACGAGUUUACGCCCUUGCCCGAUAGGGUUGGCUAAUCUUUUCAAAAUGCAUCGUGAUGGGGAUACACUAUUGCAAUUAUUAAUCUUCAACGAGGAAUUCCUAGUAAGCGCGAGUCAUCAGCACGUGCUGAUUACGUCCCUGCCCUUUGUACACACCGCCCGUCGCUCCUACCGAUUGAGUGCUCAGGUGAAUUAUUCGGACUGCAGCAAUGUUUGGAUCCCGAACGUUGCAGCGGAAAGUUUAGUGAACCUUAUCACUUAGAGGAAGGAGAAGUCGUAACA